UCGGUUAGGUUGUGAACAAGUCCCUCCAGAGCAUGUUUGUCAAUUGUUAGUACAUUAGCCCAAAAGGAGAGAUCAAGUGAAACCAAUUUCGACAGGUGGGAGACUUGGGAUGGGACUUCUCCUGCAAACAAUGUAUUGGAAAGGUUGAGGUAGAAUAGGCUUGUAAACCGACCGAACUCGGAUGGAAUUUUGGAAUGAUUAAAAUCAUUGUAGGCAAGGUUGAAUUUUUGAAGGUGAGGAAGAAGGAAGAGAGUUGUAUUGGAAGGGAAGUUGCCAUAUAGCCAACUGCAGCUCAAGUCAAGGGCAAUAACAUGAGCAUUUAGGUGGUCACAAGUGACUCCAUCCCAUGAGCAGCAAUCUGUACCCUCCUUCCAUGAAUUUGUCUUGGGAUAAGAUUUAUGGCCAGCAAUCUCAUCGCAAUACAAAGCAGCGUGGUCUGUCUGAGUGAUCGAAAAUGAAUUCUUGAACUGGAUUAGAGAAGCAGCUUCGUGGUGAGAGCAGGAGUGAGAUCCUGAAGAAGAAGCAUAAAAAUGGGGAAAGAAGAGGAAUAGGCAGAGAAAGAGAUAGGGGGCCAUGUUAUGGUUGUAGAGGAAGAUGAAGGAUAGGAAUGGCAUUUAUAGGCAACAAAUAAUACCACAACAUUGCUGUUACAGUCUUUUAUUUCUUUUACAUUGAAAAGAUAUGGAUAUUAGAUUUUUAAAAAUUUUGUAUUUUUCACAAUCAUCAACAACCACUUAGUCUUCUUUUUACCAUUAUUUUUCAUUCUUAAAGUUAGAUUUUUUUUUUAGCAAAAUCUUGUAUUUCUUUUGAACUCCUUAAACAACUAAAAAAAUUAAGAUUGACUUAGUCUUCUUCCCUAUAACACUAAAGAAUGUGUAUCUGUUCACUUGCCUGUCAACCAAAGCUAAUUAAUGUGGAGAUUCUUUUCCAAACGAAAGAAUAAAAUUGUGCUCUAUUCACUACGUUUGAGGAAUAAGACUGUUAAAAUUUUAAUCCACCGAUUCCAUAAAAAUGUGUUUAUAUAUUUACAACCUCAUAAUUCAAAUCUAAAAUCUCAUUUGUUAUAAAUUUUGAUAAAUUUAUUUGGGAAUAGCUAGUUUUCAUUCGUUAAUUAUUUCUCUUUUAAUCAAGUAAAAUAUUAAAACUAAAAAGAUAUAAUGAUUUAUUUGGCAUUUUUUAACUUUACAAACAAAAAGUGAUUUUAGCUUUUCUUUUUUUUUUUUUCCGUCUCUUUUAGUCUUUAAACUUGUAUGAUUCGUUAAAUCACCCAAAAAACAUGAUGUAAAAGUUUAAGUACCCAAUUGAGUGGGAAAAAAAUAAGGGUUUAAUUACUUUUUUUGAAGAAGUUUGAGAGUAUUUUUUAUGCAAUUUAAAAGUUUAAGUGCUUAAUUGAGUGUAAAGAAAAAAGAGGAGGGAUUUAAUUUUUUUUUUUUGAAAAAAUUUGAGGGUAUUUUACACCUUAAGCCAAUAAAAAAAACAUGUAUAUCUUCAUACUUUAAAUAAUUUAUUUAUCAUUUAAAUAGUAAUCUGUGAUUUUAUAAUAGAAUAUGCGUUAAAGGAUUCUGGAAAGUAAAGGAUCUGCACGCACACAGACAUGUUGCGAAGAUUGGGUGAAAUACUAGCUGUCAGGUUGUCUUUUUAUGUGUUUUUGACCUCCAAUUAAAUGUAAAAAAAUGUUUUUUUUUUCUGUUGGUAAUGAACAGGAGCCAAAUGUUGAAGUGGCUGGAACUUGUCUUGUAUUGCUUGCCUGCAGAUUUUGGUAUGUUUGAAUGUAUGGAGAUGUGCCAAGUGGAACUAUUUUGGGGCUUAUCACUACCUCUAUGUCACACAACAGAACACAAAAUAAAAUAAUCAAAUCAGAUCUUUGAAUAUUGAAAUACCAAAAGUUAAAAGAGUACAUGCACUAAAAUACAGUAGAAUACAAUGGAAAUAAUUUUUUAUUUUUUUUAGAUUGUAAAUAAGUAUACAUUAUUGUUGUAAAAUAUAGUCGAAAAUACUUUUUUGUUAAAAUUGGAAUAAACACAUUGUGGAUGAAAAUUUUUAAUACAAUACAAAUUGAUCAUUAACAAAUUAAAUGACGAUUUACAUGAGAAAAAUAAAAAUAAAAAAAAGAAACACCGGCGUUGUUUGCCCGAAUGUGUGCCACAACCCAGUGGGUGUUAGUUACGAAAAGGAUUCUAGCUCUUUCUCUUCUUCACCUCCACCUCCAAUUGAUCUUCAUCUUCAUCUCGUUCCUCCGUGCUAGUAUGGAUUAAAUUCUUGCAAUACAGGGGAGAGAAACCUAGUUUUCCCGUAAACUUAUUAUCAAAAAAGUUGAACAAUUUCAAGUUCCAGCAAAUGGAAAGGGGCUUAGCGGUCUUACUCACACUGGACCUAGCACCUAGGUGGUUUGGCUAAUAGUGGGCUAAGAAAUCUUGAAUGGCGAUAUGGGUUGGGGCUUCCGAGGAGUACAAAUAACCUCUGAGUUUUUUUUUUUCAAAUUUGACGAGCAUCUAGAAUAACUAGUGAAUUACAAUUCUAUUGUACCACAAUCGGUGCAUUGGUCUUUGCGGACUUAAUGUGUUUUGCUUGUUGGUUCUAUUAUCACAAAGCGAACCCAAAAUUGGCUUGGUUCCAAGAUGUAGAAUUUAUGUUGAAUCACCAUUUAGCAAGGUUACUGGGGCUUGUUUCCCUUUCUUGGGCAGGGCAUCAAGUACAUGUCUCUUUACCAAUAAACCAAUUUUUAAAUGCUUUAGUAGACUCUAAAGAGAUCUCACUUCCCCAUGAAUUUUUAUUGAAUCAUGAUCUUUUGGCUCAACUUUAUCCUAGUUUUGAUGAGGGAACAACUCCAUUUUUUACCUUGAAUUGGUCAAAAUAUGCAAAAUUUCUUACUUUUCGUGGAUGAUUAAAUCCAAUGAUUGGGGGGUCCAUGGUUGACUGAUAUUGCACACCAUCAUUUAGCUAUUACAAUUCCUUUCCUAAUAGUACGUCACAUGUAUAAGACCAAUUGGGGCAAUGGACAUAGCCUAAAAGAUAUUUUAGAGGCUAUAGAAGUCCAUUCAUAGGCCAAGGACAUAAAGAACUAUAUGAAAUCGUAACAACAACAUGGCAUGCUCAAUGAUCUCUUAAUUUAGUUAUGUUAGGCUCUUUAACCAUUGUUGUAGAUCACCAUACGUAUUCCAUGUCCCCUUAUCCAUAUCUAACUACUGACUACGGUACACAACUAUCAUUGUUCACACAUCACAUGUGGAUUGGUGGAUUUCUGAUAAUGGGUGUUGUAUGGUAAAAAUUAGUUGUAUUCAUUCUUCACAUAGUUGAUCUUUUGUUGUGGAAGUAUUGUAUUUCUGGUAAUCCAUUAAGUAUUCAGUGUUUGAUACAAUAGAUUUGCAUUUUAUUAUUGUAUUUUGUGGAAGGAUCCUUUUUCUAUUUUGUUUUUUGCAUUUCUGAUAAGUUUACAUUUUUCAGUAAUUAAUUUAUGUUGUUUUAGCCAAACUUUGUAGCGUUUCAGUUUUGGUAAAAUUUCAUCCUUGGUCCCUUUAAACUUCUUUUUGCUUUAAUUUGAUUCCUUUCUAGCGUUGCAAAUUACAUAACACUCUUCAAAUGUCUUAUUAAAUUCUCACUUGUACGAGUGCUAUGUUAAUCAAUUUUAAGUUCCAUAUAACACUUACAUGGCCACAAAAUGUGUGUGUGUGUGUAAGUGUCCUCAACCACAAACAAUCCAAAUUUGCUGAGAAACCACCCACUGUAUAUAGGUUUGCCAAUGAGAUGGCAAGCAGACUGCUAGCUAGAAAUUCAUGCAUCUUUGAAUCACCAAUUCAAUUAAUAAGCUUAACUAGAGGAAAUAAGGACUUUACACCACCAAUUAAAGCAACCUAUAUGUACCCUUUUACAGUCUGCAUUGUUCCAUGUUUCCAUUCAUUACAUCAUUCCUUCAACUCUGCUAUAUACUAUUACCGUCUCCAUAUAACCAAACCUUUUACUGCUAACUUCUAAAAGAAUUAUGAAAAUACAACAGAGAUCAUUGAGACAUUUUGUUCUCCUUUCUCCUUUACUGAGCAGUAGCAAAGAUUAUCGAGACUAAAUUGUAAGUCAUGAAAGAAGACAUAAACAACACCACCAUACAAAAUGUCACACUCAAACAAACCAUUACAGAUAGUACGAAAUGCAAUGAAAGACAGAGGAAUUGGUACAAUAAUAAAUACAGACACAUACCAAUGCAACCCUUCACCAAAGGCAAAACGGUCUACAGAACAAGAAAUUAUGAAAAUACAACACUAAUUCUUAAACAUCAUUUGCAGUAAUUAGAUCCUUCUUCGUCUAUCGCUUCGAUUGCCUUUCUUUGACUUUCUUCUUCGCCUCUUCUCUUGUUGGUUUUCAACCAAAUUCACCAACCAUUUCGGCUUACCAGUUUCGAAAACAACAUAUCCCACGGACAUUCCGAACACCACUCCGCAUCCAUAGCCUAUCAACACCACUUUCCAACCAAAAGCAAUGUUUGAUUUUGAGCCAUCUUUUUCAAGCACAUUUGGAGGUGCUGGCUCAAUGAUGUUGCAACCUUUCGAGACCGGAAAUCCACAUAGUCCCUUAUUUCCUUCAUAUGAAUCAUUUCCAAAUGUGUUGAACUGUUUGCCUUGAGGAAUCUGACCAUGGAGUUGAUUUUCAGAAACAUUGAAGGACGAAAGAAAAGGCAGAUCUGCCAAUCUAUUUGGAAUCGUCCCAGACAACCUGUUUGAAGAUAGGUCCAACCAUUCAAGACUUGUCAAAUUCCCUAUUGAGGUGGGGAUACCACCACUAAGGUUAUUAUGAGAAAGGUUGAGCCCUUUCAGUAAGUUAAGCUUCCCAAAAACCUUUGGAAUACCCCCUUCAAACUGAUUGUUUGAUAGAUCAAUGAUCAUCCACAUGGUGAAAAUUUUCACCAAUUCCAUAUAUUGUCCUUUCAUAACAAUUCCAAUGGAAUAGGUAUAGAAGCCACUACCUCUCUGAACAUACACCCCCAUGUACGACAUUGUACUCCCAAUCUUCUCUAGAUCUAUGAUAGCCUUGAAGCUGUUGAUGUAUCUCACUGGUAGGGGUCCAGAAAAAUAAUUACUUGAGAGGUCAAAAAUUUGGAUUUUAGAGAAAAAAGGGCUAGACUUGGAGCUAUUGACACGCAAGGAACCAUGCAUAUGGUUUGACUUCAAUACAAGAACUUGCAAAUAUGGAAGACUUCCCAACCAAUGAGGAAAUGUAUCAUUGAUCUUGUUGUUACCAAGAUCUAGCACUUCUAGACCUCUACAAUUAAGGAUGGAUGGUGUCAAUGGCCCUUCUAACAGAUUUCCAUUUAAGUUGAAAUUAGUCAAUCGGCAUCCCUGUGCAAAAUUUGGAGGAAUCGUCCCAUAGAACUUGUUCUUCUUCAGAUUCAAGAAUUCAAGGCUGUUGCUCAAAUUUCCAAAACAUCGCGGAAUUGUUCCACUCAAGUUAUUGUGGGACAAAUCAAGAACUCGAAGAGAAGUGGCAUUGCAGAUUAAAGAAGAGACCUCUCCAUUCAAACUGUUAUUUGAGAUCAAAAAGAAAUUGAUGGUCGAAGCUGGAAUCGGAAGAUUUCCACUGAUCAAAUUGGAGCUUAAGUCAAGAACUUCAAUAUUCUUCCAUGGAAAGUGCUCAACUUCUGUCAAAGAGUUGUGAGAUACGUUUAAGUAAGUCAAAGAGCCAUUCCCCACCUCUUGCAUCCACUGUGGAAUCUUGCCUUCAAUUUUGUUGCAAGAGAGGUCUAAGCUUUCCAAACUUUUAAGCCCUUUUAAAAAUUGGGGGAAUUCACUAAGAUUGCAAGAUGACAAAAGUAAGUCUGUAACAUUAGGCAAUAUAUGAUUAACACUAGAUGUAGCAUUAGAUGUUAAGGAUAGGCUGUUAUAUGAAAGGUCGAGAUGUUUUAGAUUUGGAACGUUUGAGAACAUGCGAAACUCUAUGACACCACUAAGAUUAUUUGAGGAUAAAAGGAGCCAGGUAAGAUUGAGAAGUUGGAAUAUUGAAGAUGGAAGAGGACCUUGGAGUUUAUUAUUUUCUAGAUCUAAAUAUUCUAGUGAUUUGGUUUGGAAUUCUUUGAUAUGCCCACUGAAUUGAUUUUGAGAGAGAAUUAUACCCUUUAAGGAGGGAGCAGUAUACAACCAUGACGGAAGUGUUCCAUUGAGUACAUUGUCAAAUAAGACUAAAUAUAUUAGAUUCGGAACAGCGGUUACCUCAUCUGGAAGAGAACCUUCUAAAGAAUUUUCAGAUAUUUCCAAGUAUUCCAACUGCGUUAGGUUUAGAAUUGACAAUGGAAUUUGUCCACUCAAUUUAUUUGAUCCCAAGUCUAAAUGAGUGAGUUGCAAGAGGUUUCCAAGUGAUUUUGGAACCGGUCCUGAUAAGUUGGAAUAGGAGAGAUCUAAAAACUUCAAGGACACAAGAUUCCCCAUCGAGUCAGGCAAUCCUCCAAAAAAAUUUGCGCCUCUAAGAAUCAAGUACUCCAAAGAUGAUAAAUUUGUGAUUGAGACAGACAAUCCUUGAAAGAAAGAAUUUCCUGAUAGAUCGAAGUACUUUAAGGCCUGUAGAUUAUCAACCGAAUCAAUGAAUUCUGUAGAGAAGGACAUCCACGACAGAUCCAAAUGUUCGAGAUUGCUGCUCCGAUUCAACUUCAAAGGAUCAAGAUUGAGGUUUUGGUUGCCUCCCAAGUUGAGGAGAUUGAGGUUUGGCAAAUCAAAAAUGUUUUUUGGGAAUUUUCCUUGCAAAUCACAACCAGCAAGACUGAGAGACCUUAGAGAAGAGGAUAGAUUCAUGAAGACAUGAGCAUUAACAGAAGUCAUGUUGAUUCCAUCCAAAAACAGAUGUCUGACCUCGGUUAGGUUGUGAACAAGUCCCUCCAGAGCAUGUUUGUCAAUUGUUAGUACAUUAGCCCAAAAGGAGAGAUCAAGUGAAACCAAUUUUGACAGGUGGGAGACUUGGGAUGGGACUUCUCCUGCAAACCCUGUAUAAGAAAGGUUGAGGUAGAAUAGGCUUGUAAACCGACCGAACUCGGAUGGAAUUUUGGAAAGAUUAAAAUCAUUGUAGGCAAGGUUGAGUUUUUGAAGGUGAGGAAGAAGGAAGAGAGUGGUAUUGGAAGGGAAGUUGCCAUAUAGCCAACUGCAGCUCAAGUCAAGGGCAAUAACAUGAGCAUUUAGGUGGUCACAAGUGACCCCAUCCCAUGAGCAGCAAUCUGUACCCUCCUUCCAUGAAUUUGUCUUGGGAUAAGAUUUAAGGCCAGCAUAAUCAUUGCAAUAAGAAGAAACAUCCUCUGUUAUGGAAAAAGAGUCCUUAAACUGGAUUAGGGAAGAGCAGGAGUGAGAUCCUGAAGAAGAAAAAGAAGCAUAAAGAUGGGGAAAGAAGAGGAAUAGGCAGAGAAAGAGAUAGGGGGCCAUGUUAUGUUUGUAGAGGAAGAAGAAGGAUAGGAAUGGUAUUUGUAGGCAACAAAUAGUACC
rnacentral:lncRNA from 1 species